AGGUAUGUCAGUACGGAGAGACGAAGGUAAGAGAAACGCCAAUGGGUGAGAAAAAACUGCAGGUCACACUCUGUUGAAGUUAUUUAUAAGUGAAGUAAAGGACUUGUGUUGAGGGAACUUAGAGAGUAAUACGUAGGCAAGAGAAAGUAUGAGGAGGAGUGGAAUUUACGUAGCGAUUUAGAGGGGCUAUGAGAUUGUUAGCAUCUGUUGAGGUAUUUGUGGGUAAUAUUGUUUCAUUCCUCCAAGAUUAAUUUUGUUCAGGGUUGCCCUGACGUGCCCUUCAGUAGUAUUGUUUAACUUGUAGUGCGGAUUAGUUCUUCCUCUCUAGGGCACCGAUGCAUUCACCUGUUUUAUUUAUAGCAUUAGAUAGACGGGGAGGAGAAGGGGAAAGGCAAGGAGGGGAGGUAAUGGGAAGUGGAGGAAAACUACCAAUAAGAUGCAGAGAGAGUUGUAAGAUAGAAGGAGGACACAUUACAAGAGGGAGCAGCCAAGGGGAAACUUCUGAAAUUUAAAGUAUUGUAAUCAACCAGUACCCAUAAAGAAGAACCAAAAGAAAUAAGAAUAUGAAAAAUGAAAACAGAGAUCACAAGGAAAGGAAGAAAAGAGAGCCCAAGUCCAUAACUGAAAUUACCAACAUAACAAUAACAAAGAUCAACUCAGUGGUUCCGCUGCCUGCCUCACAAGUGCAAGGUCCUGAGUUUGAUUCCUGGUACCAAAACAAAUAAGAAUAAAAACCUUCAUACAGUUGUUAUAGCGUUGACUCAGUUUCCGUACAGCUCCCUGUAGCACAGUAUGACUGUAUGGUUUUUAUUAUCUGUACGCUUUCCCCUUGUGGGGCAGAUAUUUGCCUGCCUAAAUCCUUGAGAAUCUUUGAUUUUCCUAACUUUUGUCCUGAUUCCAAGCCCUGGGCAUGUCCCUCUGCAGAUGUCCAUGGUGCAAUUACUUUUAUCAACCUGAAAGAUAAAUAUCAUGGCCUUUUCUUUGUCUUCCCUCCACAGAUUUCCCUGGCCUAAUUUGUGGCCAGAAAGAAUACAGACCGGGUGCUGAUGGCGCUGAUGUGUGUUUCAGCCCCAUCCGCAGAAACAGCAGGAGGGCUCUCUGGCUUGACUUUGUUCAAUGUGAUUAUCACAGGACCGGUUUUCCCUUGCUUCUGAGCUGUUCUCAGAUUUUGCCUGCACCAGUUUUGCCUUCCCGGGUUGCUCAGCGCCCUCCCACCCCGUCAGAGUCCACGGUCUUGGGUGGGUGCUAAAUGUUCCAGGUACAGCACUGUCAUGGUAUGAAUGGAAAAACAGGAGGCUUGCACGGUGGCGGUUGUUGCUGUUGCUGUUGCUGCUGUUUUGCUGGGAAAAUCUGUUUGCCCAGUGUGCCCCUGCUCACCACUCUAAAGCCCCCGGCUGCCUAUCUUCGGCCUGCUAAUGUCUGACUUUCUGCCUCACAUCAUAACGAUGUCACCCACUCUCCCCAAAUAUCAUUGUGCAGUGUGAAAACCCACAGCCGACCACUCAUACUUGUCUCAUCCACGUACACUCCUACCAUUGGAACACCAUUCCUUGUAAAUCCCUCAGCAGGAGCAGAAAAGAUGAAGCUUCCUGUUCUUGGAUAUUCAGCCUCCAAAAUUGUGGUCUAAAUAAGCCCUUCCUUCUGAAAUGCACAGCUGCAGGGGGCAUGUUCCCUUGCAAUGCUGAGUUGUAAUUUAUUGAAUGGACAUAUCACAAUUUUCCCAUCUUCUUGUCACUUGCUGGAUAUUUGGAUUGAUUCAGGACUGUGGCUAUUCCGCAAAGAAAGCAAGGCGCCCUCUCUUUCCCAGCUAAUUAGCACAUCACUGGAAGGUGGGCAGCGGAGGACCCCCAGGAGUCAGGGCUGCAGCAUAUCUACCUGGCCCCCUGGAGCUCCUGUAACCCGGAGUCUUCACAUUUCGCUGUAUGCCCGUGAUUACCCACCUUCUGGAACAAAGCCGGCAGCCUCUGUCAUUUGUCCUGAAGGAAGCACCACAGCUAAUUAACCAUUUAAUAGAGAACCGGCAUUCCCUUUGGCUGAGGAUCCAGAUGAUUUGAGGAAGAGAAUUGGGAGUAGUGUUGAAUCUCCAUGCAAACGGCAGUCACGCAAGGCAGUCGUCCAGCUUAUAGGCAGAAGCAUCAUGAACUUGAAUGUUGCACAUAAAGAAAAAGUAAUACAACGCAGAGGAUCUCUUUUCAGUUUCUGAAAUUGCUAGUACAUCUCCACACUGCUAUUGCAAAUGGAAUACUAGAAACCAUUAACGUUCCUGUGGGUGAAGAAAAUAUUAUUCUUUGGUCUCUGCUACUUCUGGCACCAACAUAGAGUCACUGAGACACCUCACUUGCUUCUGGACCUGCAAAUGCAAUCCGGGGACAUUUAACAAAAAAGCCAGCAAAAGGACAAUACGAUGUCGUGAAAUAUUUCUACAUUAUCCCUGGUACCAGAAAAAAAGAAAAAGAUAUUCACUGACACAUGUACUAAUCUCUUCUGUGUCGAACCGAAACCUUGUCUACUUUGACCAGUAUCUCCUACCUGCUCCAGUCACUGAUAACCACUAUCACCAGCCUGCUUCUGACUUGGAGUCUUUAGAUUCCACACAUAAGUGGGGUUGUGCAGCAUAAUCUGUGCCUGGUAUUUCAGGAGUCAUCCUUCAUGUGGGUGACUAAAUGCAACAGUUUCUGUAAAUGAAGGAGGGGUGAUUCAGCUCCGCCAUCUGGAACGUAACACUACACAGUCAGUUUCUUAAAGGGCACAGCUUCCCCCGCCUGCACCUGUUAGACGCUAACACUGAGGAAGCAGCUCUGUGAACCACGGCCCUCACCGUGGCUGUUUCAGAUUGCAAAGCCUCCAGCUAGUGUCUGGCACUGUUCGGACUUACGCAGACAGAUCUUUGAAAAGCUUCCUCCUCCGUUGUGAUUACCAAGGUUGUCACUUCAACACCGGAAUCGAUCUACUGAUGGCACGGCCGGGAGUCAUGGGACUUAGGAGGUGUGGCCUGGUCCAAGGGUGCAGGGUGGGUGUCACGCUGGGGAUGACCCUUACUUUCCGGCCCUUUCCCUGGGUCUCUGUCUGUCACACUCGUUCACUCACUUCCCUCUCUCCCUCGCUCUCCCUCUCUCACGCUCCCCUCCAGCUGCCACAGGGUGAGCAGCUGUGCUCUGCCACCCCCACCUGCCAUGAUGUUUCUUCCUUGCCAAAGGACUAAAAGCAAUGGAUACAGCUGACUGUGGCUCUGAAACUGUAAGCCAAAAUCAUUUUUUUGAGUAAGGUCUCGCUAUGUAGUCACUUCAGGCUUGAACUCAUUUCGUGGCUCACGCGGGCCUCGCAGCCAUACUCCUGCUUAAGCCUUCUGACUCAGACCUACUCCCCUGAUUUCUCCAGGACUGCUCCUUGAGAUCCUGGCACAUAUCAGCAGGAAGCCAUGGCUGAACUACAGAGCCUCUCGUCC